UGAGAGGCAUUAUUUUAAGCUUAGGUUUC
rnacentral:piRNA from 1 species